GACUAACUAAAGUUACAAUAUACACAUGGUCUUAUAUACAAGUUGGCAAGGCAGAUGACAGCUUAACGUUUUGAUUUCGUCGGAUAACACUGAUGUUUACUACAAAAGUACGCACACUGGACAAUACACACAUUUUUCUAGUUUUGAACCAUUUUCACGUAAAACUGCGUGGGUUAAAUCUUUGUUUCACCGAGCAUCAAAAUUAUGCAGUACCAGUCAACUAUUUGAUAACCAAGUUCGGAAGCUUAAAAUGUUUAUGUCUUGGAAUGGCUUUCCUCGUGCGAUCAGGAAUUUAUUGAUAUCCAAACUAAAAAACAAAUUUUCUGCGGAUCGACCUCGCACUAACUUUUUUGAUGAAAACGACACUAGGCCUAAGGUUUGGGUUCGCGUUCCAUACCUUGGUAAACAAGGUGAAACUUUAGUUAAAAGUUGCAUAAAGAAAAUACAAAGAUGCCUAACUGUUCCUGUAAAUUUUAUAGUUGUUUAUGACAACAAAAAGUUUUCUUAUUUCCUUUCCAACAAAGACAAAAUUCCGAAUCUUUCGAAAUCCAAUGUAGUUUAUGAGGUGACAUGUCCUGGCUGUUCCGCAACGUAUAUUGGGAAAACAGAAAGACGUUUACAGACGCGACUUGCUGAACAUACCAAUCCGACCAAAAGUGCUAUUGGACAGCAUUUUCACAACUGCGAACAUGUGCAAUACAUUGUAAACCUUCACUUUGUUUUUGACAAACUUAACAACCCAACUGACGCUGACAAUAACGUUUCCACUUUUAUUUCCAACUUAAUAUCUGACAACUCUCGAAUUCUUCACACUAUUUAUUCUCGCACACCUAACUUACUCUUGUUGCUUGAAGCUCUAUAUAUCAAGUAUCAUUCACCCAGUUUAAACACUGGACUCAAAGCCAGCAAAGAACUCAAGCUUUUUUCUUAAUCUAUACACCCACAUUUCAUCACACUUACAUCUCACUGCAACUGUCGUGGUUCUGAUUGAGACUUCCGUUAAGCUGUCAUCAUGCCUUGCCAACUUGUAUAUAAGACCAUGUGUAUAUUGUAACUUUAGUUAGUCUGAUGAUGAUUUUGUAAUAAAAUCGAAAUAUUACUCACUCACUUUCUUGUUUGACUCAUAUUUUGGGUUUCAAGAUGCUUAUCUUCGGAUUAUGUUUUGUAUUAUAUUUUUUGAAAUUGUCGGCUGGUAUUGGUUUUUAGGAAAUUUAAAAUGAAGUUUUUUUGCAUUGGAAUAUUGCAACAGCCGAUAGGAACGUUGCAAAUUCCCUCGAAGGAUUUGCAAAGAGUUUUUCAAAUUUGCUAAGCUAAUGAGGAAAAUUCCAAAUGAGUUACGAAGUCAAAAGAGGAAUGCUUCACGUAGUUUACCUGUAAAAAUAGGAAAUCUUUCAUGUUUUAUGUUUUAGGAAAAAUAAGAAAUCUGUUUUAAGUAGAAUGAAUGAAAAAUAUUGCACUAGAAUCUAAAUUUAGAAGAAUAAAAGUUGAUAAUCA